CCGAUAUUUUUCACCACCCCCCAAAAUCAGACGCGCCACGCUCAAUCUCGCUGCCGCGUUGAGGUUCUCGCCGGUCGGCGAUUUCCUUCCUCGCCGUGCGGGAUCAGAGCCGGGCCGAGAGAGGAGGGGACCCUCGCACGUUCGUCCUGGGAGAGUGGCUCGCCGCGUUCGCCCUCGUCAAGCGCCAACUACCGACUUCAAUCUCGGCGCACGCAGCAUCAUCCUUGUCGGCCGCCGAUUCGUCCUCAUCGAGCGGAAGUCACGACGAGAGUGAGGUCACGUCGGCGAUUCGUUAUUGCCGAGAGGGAGGCGCGCGGCAGCGAGGGGGGCUCGUCGUUCUCUUCGCUGGCGAUUUGUGGUCGUUCUCGCCGAAGGGGGAGACGCAUCGGGAGUGAGGGCGGGUUCACGCGUCGAUCUCGUCGCCCGGCGAUUUGUCCUCACCAAGGGGAGGCGCGCCGGGAGCGAGGGUGGCGCACUCCCGUGCGUGAUUUUCUCCAGCGGCCUGGGGGUGAUUCAUCUUUCGUCAAGGGAGCACGUUGCGAAGGGAGGGACGACUCCGUGCGCAGGGACCUGCACUCCAUUCGCAGGAAGAUGCAAAACCACUGCGUGAAUGCAUAUCCUACUACUUGCUGACACACCCAUGCAACGAAAAGUACGAAACUCUUCUCGAGAUCAAAAAUAUAUUAAACAUGCAUAGCGUGACCAUCGAGUUCUAUAAGUGAAGAUGGUGGUGUGCAGAUUUAUGGUUA